rnacentral:tRNA from 1 species
CGCAAUAGCUCAGUUGGUAGAGCAGUUGAUUUGUAAUCAUCAGGUCGUGGGUUCAACUCCUACUUGCGGC